AUUGUUUACAAAAAGCUAGAAGAACGCGCCUCAAGCCGGAGAGAUUAAAGGAUUAUCGUAAAAUUGUCUUAUUUAAGCUGGCGUCACUCUUAAGCUGGUGUUCCAUCGUUUCAGAUUCACAAUGUCCCGCAAGGAAGCGCUGUCGCAAUUCAUCAACCAAAUUCACGGCCGACCCGUGGUCGUAAAGCUCAAUAGUGGGGUCGAUUACAGAGGAGUGCUUGCCUGUUUGGACGGCUACAUGAACAUUGCCCUGGACCAGACGGAAGAGUACGUAAAUGGGCAGCUGAAAAACAAGUACGGCGAUGCGUUCAUCCGCGGCAACAAUGUACUCUACAUUUCCACGCAGAAGAGAAGAGUGUAAAAGAUGAAAAGCGAACAAUGGUGAAGAAUAAAAAGCAAAACAUUUUCUUAAAAAUUUACGAACUAAAAAUGAAUUGUAGUAGUGGUUGAUCACCACCACUACCACACCUAACUGAAAGUAAGGUGGAGAACCUCACCAUAAGAUUCGAAACAGUCGCGGACUAGUGCGAAGCUGUAUUCAGAAGCAUGUUGUUCUGGGCGCUUCAUGGUAAAGCUUUCGGGUAGUUCUCCAUUCCUUUCAGGUUCACGCAUUCAACGUAACGCUGAACCGUACGACUCAAUGAAUGCCGUCCAAAGGCGAGAAGCUUUUGUAUUGAUAGAGUUCCGGUCCACCGUACCCGUACAGCAGCUUGCCCUUUCCAUUUUCAUCGUAGUAGGGGUAUCUGUAUUUUGGCCUGUAAAGAGGAGAAUAGAAUUCAGUGUAUGGUAUAUUUUAAGA